AAGCACCCUGAGUAUCUAAGAUCGACACAGCUCAGAAAACAUGUUGCCACACUCUCACAAGUCCUUAAUUUGAAAAACAAUGAACUUGAUCAGGUUGCAGAUUUCCUGGGUCAUGAUAUUCGCGUUCACUGCGAAUUCUACAGAUUACCAGUUCCCACAACACAGCUGGCCAAGAUUUCCAAACUGCUUUUAACACUGGAAAAAGGACAUCUUUCCCAGAUCCAGGGGAACUCACUGGAUGAGAUCGAAAUUAAAGAUGAAAUUGCAUUAAGUGAUGCUGAAACAAAGGACAGUGAGAGUGAAUCAGAUGAUGAUGACACAGCACUCACAAUGUCAGCGUGUGGCACCAGUGAGCCUGUACAUGCAGUAGCUGAUUCCACAAACACAGCGCAGCUCCAAGACACUGUAGAUUGUGAUGAAGAACCACUCAUAAUGCCUGCAGCAAGUGAGACUGCUGCUCCCUCUGAAGAUAAAAAUGCUGCUCAAUCCCACAAUUCCCGAAGAGCUCCCAAAAACAUGUGGUCCAAGGAUGAGGUUGCUGCAGUGAUGAGGCAUUUUAAAGACCACAUAAACGAAGGGAAACUGGCCACCAAAAAUGAAUGCAGUCAUUGCAAAUUGGUAGAAGAUCCGGUGUUGGCAGGAAGAACAGUUCAAAACAUAAGAGAUUUUGUAAGAAACAGAGGAUUAACUGCAAAAAGGCAG
ensembl:lncRNA